rnacentral:rRNA from 2 species
GGGAUUGCCCUAGUAACGGCGAGUGAAGCGGCAACAGCUCAAAUUUGAAAUCUGGCGCAAGCCCGAGUUGUAAUUUGUAGAGGAUGCUUCUGGGUAGCGACCGGUCUAAGUUCCUUGGAACAGGACGUCAUAGAGGGUGAGAAUCCCGUAUGUGACCGGCCCGCACCCUUUACGUAGCUCCUUCGACGAGUCGAGUUGUUUGGGAAUGCAGCUCUAAAUGGGAGGUAAAUUUCUUCUAAAGCUAAAUACCGGCCAGAGACCGAUAGCGCACAAGUAGAGUGAUCGAAAGAUGAAAAGUACUUUGGAAAGAGAGUUAAAAAGCACGUGAAAUUGUUGAAAGGGAAGCGCCUACAACCAGACUUCGCGGCAGUGUUCCGCCGGUCUUCUGACCGGUUUAUUCUCUGUCGCGAGGCCAUCAUCGUCUGGGCCCGCCGGAUAAGACCUUAGGAAUGUAGCUCACCUUCGGGGGAGUGUUAUAGCCUAUGGUGAUGCGGCGAGGCUCGGGCGAGGUCCGCGCUUCGGCAAGGAUGAUGGCGUAAUGGUUGUCGGCGGCCCGUCUUGAAACACGGACCAAGGAGUCUAACAUCUAUGCGAGUGUUCGGGUGUCAAACCCCUACGCGUAAUGAAAGUGAACGGAGGUGGGAACCGCAAGGUGCACCAUCGACCGAUCCUGAUGUCCUCGGAUGGAUUUGAGUAAGAGCAUAGCUGUUGGGACCCGAAAGAUGGUGAACUAUGCCUGAAUAGGGUGAAGCCAGAGGAAACUCUGGUGGAGGCUCGCAGCGGUUCUGACGUGCAAAUCGAUCGUCAAAUUUGGGUAUAGGGGCG